CCCGCUGAAUUUAAGCAUAUUAGUUAGCAGAGGAAAAGAAACUAACCAGGAUUCCCUCAGUAAUGGCGAGUGAACAAGGAAGAGCCCAGCGCCGAAUCCCCGCCGCGUGCCGUGGCGUGUGAAAUGUGGCGUAGGGGAGACCCACUCCCGGGCGCCGCUCGUGGGGGCCCAAGUCCUUCUGAUUGAGGCCCAGCCCUUGGACAGUGUGUGAGACCGGUAGCAGGCCCGGCCCGCCGGGCCCGGAUCUUCCUGGAGUCCGGUUGCUGGGAAUGCAGCCCAAAGCGGGUGGUAAACUCCAUUUAAGGCUAAAUACUGGCACGAGACUGAUAGCCAGCAAGUACAGUAAGGAAAAGUUGAAAAGAACUUUGAAGAGAGAGUUCAAGAGGGCGUGAAACUGUUAAGAGGUAAACGGGUGUGGUCAGCGCAGUCCUCCCAGAAGAUACAACCCAGAGGCGCACAUUCGGCUGUGCCGGUGAUCCCUGCGGAACUUUCCCACUCCCCUUUCCUCCCGACCCCUCCACCUGGG
rnacentral:ncRNA from 1 species